AUGAACUUUAUGUAUGAACUUGUAUUAAUUUGGUCUAUUCGGUGUUGUGUAAUGAAGAUGAGCUGGCAAUGGAUGUACGAUGACCGAUGCUCUCAUCAGUUCGUUGAGGGCGUGCAUACUUUUCUGCUUGCGGCUGAGGCAAACAAGCGGGCGGAUGGUUUUAUGCCUUGUCCAUGUGCUUGCUGUAAGAAUGGUUGCAAUUACUCUACGUCAAGAACCAUUUACGUCCACCUAUUUGAGUCCGGUUUCAUGCCCCACUAUAAUGUUUGGACCAAGCACGGAGAAAGAGGGGUUAUGAUGGAAGACAAUGAAGAAGAAGAGGACGAUGACAGCUAUCCUAGCCAUGGGUUCCCUGAAUACGAUGAUACAACAAUGGGGGAAGAAGCUGAGCCGGUAAUGCGGGAAGAAGCUGAGCCCGCAAUGCGGGAAGAAGCUGAAGAAGAGGCAUUAGAUGAGCCCGUUGAUGAUCUAGGUCGGGCCAUUGCCGAUGCAAAGAGAAACUGCGCAAGUGAUUUGGAGAAGAAGAGGUUGCAGCGCAUGUUAGAGGAUCACAAAAAAUUGUUGUACCCGAAUUGCGUAGGUGACAAGAAAAAGCUGGGCACCACACUGGAAUUGCUGCAAUGGAAGGCAGAGAAUGGUGUAUCUGACAAGGGAUUUGGAAAGUUGCUGGUAAUGAUAAAGGAUAUGCUUCCAAAGGACAACGAAUUGCCCGAGAGUAUAUACGAAGCAAAGAACGAUGUCUGCCCUCUAGGGUUAGAGGUGCAGAAGAUACAUGCAUGCCCUAAUGAUUGCAUCCUCUACCGCGGUGAGUACGAGGAUUUAAACGCUUGCCCAGUAUGUGGUGCAUUGCGCUAUAAGAUCAGCCGCGAUGAGCAUGGUGAUGUCGAGGGCGAGCGCCCCAGGAAGAAGAUUCCUGCCAAGGUGAUGUGGUAUUCUCCUAUAAUACCACGGUUGAAACGUUUGUUCCAAAACAAAGAGCAUGCCAAGGCGAUGCGAUGGCACAGAGAAGACCGUAAGAAAGACGGAAAGUUGAGAGUACCCGCUGACGGGUCGCAGUGGAGAAAAAUCGAAAGAAAGUACGGGAAGGAGUUUGCAGAUGACGCAAGGAGCGUAUGGUUUGGUCUAAGCGCAGAUGACAUUAAUCCUUUUGGGGAGCAGAGCAGCAACCAUAGCACCUGGCCUAUGACUCUAUGUUUGUAUAACCUUCCUCCUUGGUUGUGCAUGAAGCGGAAGUUCAUUAUGAUGCCAGUGCUCAUCCAAGGCCCUAAACAACCCGGCAACGACAUUGAUGUGUAUCUAAGGCCAUUAGUUGAAGAACUCUUACAACUAUGGAAUGGAACAGGUGUACGUGCAUAG
rnacentral:rRNA from 1 species